rnacentral:rRNA from 1 species
AUCACCUUAUCCGGGAUCCUCAUAUGGAUAACUGCGGAAAUACUGGAGCUAAUACAUGCAACUAUACCCCAACGCAAGGCGGGGUGCAAUUAUUAGAACAGACCAAACGUUUUCGGACGUUGUUUGUUGACUCUGAAUAAAGCAGUUUACUGUCAGUUUCGACUGACUCUAUCCGGAAAGGGUGUCUGCCCUUUCAACUAGAUGGUAGUUUAUUGGACUACCAUGGUUGUUACGGGUAACGGAGAAUAAGGGUUCGACUCCGGAGAGGGAGCCUUAGAAACGGCUACCACGUCCAAGGAAGGCAGCAGGCGCGAAACUUAUCCACUGUUGAGUAUGAGAUAGUGACUAAAAAUAUAAAGACUCAUCCUUUUGGAUGAGUUAUUUCAAUGAGUUGAAUACAAAUGAUUCUUCGAGUAGCAAGGAGAGGGCAAGUCUGGUGCCAGCAGCCGCGGUAAUUCCAGCUCUCCUAGUGUAUCUCGUUAUUGCUGCGGUUAAAAAGCUC